GAGCGGUAGAGUCUCUUCGGAGACUUGAGAGCGGCGCACGGGUGCGGAACACGUGUGCAACCUGCCUUUAUCUGGGGGAUAGCCUUUCGAAAGGAAGAUUAAUACCCCAUAAUAUAUUGAGUGGCAUCACUUGAUAUUGAAAACUCCGGUGGAUAGAGAUGGGCACGCGCAAGAUUAGAUAGUUGGUGAGGUAACGGCUCACCAAGUCUACGAUCUUUAGGGGGCCUGAGAGGGUGAUCCCCCACACUGGUACUGAGACACGGACCAGACUCCUACGGGAGGCAGCAGUGAGGAAUAUUGGACAAUGGGUGAGAGCCUGAUCCAGCCAUCCCGCGUGAAGGACGACGGCCCUAUGGGUUGUAAACUUCUUUUGUAUAGGGAUAAACCUAGAUACGUGUAUCUAGCUGAAGGUACUAUACGAAUAAGCACCGGCUAACUCCGUGCCAGCAGCCGCGGUAAUACGGAGGGUGCAAGCGUUAUCCGGAUUUAUUGGGUUUAAAGGGUCCGUAGGCUGAUUUGUAAGUCAGUGGUGAAAUCUCACAGCUUAACUGUGAAACUGCCAUUGAUACUGCAAGUCUUGAGUGUUGUUGAAGUAGCUGGAAUAAGUAGUGUAGCGGUGAAAUGCAUAGAUAUUACUUAGAACACCAAUUGCGAAGGCAGGUUACUAAGCAACAACUGACGCUGAUGGACGAAAGCGUGGGGAGCGAACAGGAUUAGAUACCCUGGUAGUCCACGCCGUAAACGAUGCUAACUCGUUUUUGGGUUUUCGGAUUCAGAGACUAAGCGAAAGUGAUAAGUUAGCCACCUGGGGAGUACGAACGCAAGUUUGAAACUCAAAGGAAUUGACGGGGGCCCGCACAAGCGGUGGAUUAUGUGGUUUAAUUCGAUGAUACGCGAGGAAC
rnacentral:rRNA from 1 species